CCCCUUCCAUCGGGGGGCGGGUGCCCCUAUAUUGAUCAUGUCUUCGGACUAUGGCGAUAAACGCGCGUGUAAUAAGCGGCUCGGACCCGGGGGCGGUACCCGGCGGCUCCACCAAAAGCAGGUUCAGGCCUUUUCACCGGGCCUGUUUCUGACGGGGCCGAAAUAGGAUCGACGGACGUGUAAAGACGAGGCCUUCGCCGGAUUGGGCCCCCUCAGAAGCCCAAAUCAACAUAGUUGCAAACGACAACUUUGCUGAAGGUGAACUGCUCGCAGCGUAAGCUGUGCGCGGAUUACCGCUCUAACUCCUAGGGAUUCAGCUCCCUAGGCGGGGCCCGGAGGCGCCUGGCAACAGAAGCCUCCACU
rfam:Hyphomonadaceae bacterium BRH_c29 BRHa_1006045, whole genome shotgun sequence.